rnacentral:rRNA from 1 species
ACGUCUACAUUAGAUACCCGCGUAGUCCCAGCCGUAAACUAUGCGCGUUAGGUGUAUCGGUGACCACGAGUUACCGAGGUGCCGAAGGGAAACCGUGAAACGUGCCGCCUGGGAAGUACGGUCGCAAGGCUGAAACUUAAAGGAAUUGGCGGGGAGCACCACAACAGGUGGAGCCUGCGGUUUAAUUGGACUCAACGCCGGGAAGCUCACCGGAUAGGACAGCAGAAUGAUUGCCGGGCUGAAGACCCUGCAUGACUAGCUG